rnacentral:lncRNA from 1 species
GUCAGCGGCGUGGGCAGCCAUGGGUCAGCCAGCCAAGGUUUUACAGCUCUUUAAAACACUGCACAGGACCAGACAACAAGUUUUUAAAAACGAUAAGAGGGCAUUGGAAGCAGCCAGAGUAAAGAUAAACGAAGAAUUCAAAAAACAUAAAAACGAGACAUCUCCAGAGAAAAUAAAAGAGGUGCAGUAAUGAGUUUCAAUUGCGUUUUAGAACUGGUCCCCAGGAAAGAUCUUCUUACAGAAAAUGUGCCGUACUGUGAUGCACCAACCCAGAAGCUGUAAAGCUUCCAGGAUAAAACCCGCCUCUGCUCCUUCCCACUUUAAAUAUAUGCCUGGCAAAGUCCUGAUGCACAUGAUUCUCUGUGAAGCGGCACGUUGCAAAUGAGCGGCAGGCUGAGGGCUACAGAGCACUGCCAUGCUCUGAGGACAUAGACGUGCGUGUCACUGACAGGCAGCCCUUACGGGCGACUGAAUGCUUGGGGAGGUGGGACACCCUCUCUUUCCCUUUGGUAGGUGUUUUGGUCUUACCAAAGCUGUUUGCGGAUGAAGCACUUUACCAAGUUGGUGACUUUUCAUCUCAUGGGAAACACACCUGCUAAAUAUAAAAUGCUACAUUAGAUGGAUGUUUAAUCCCCAAAAUGUUGGUAAAAAAAUUAACAUUUUUCCGCCAGCUCUCUACUGAAAGCAGCCAUUGUUUCCCAAAGUCCCGUGGUUAUUUCUGUGGCAGACAAGUAAUUAUGUAGUGUAUUUCUCGGCAUUCUUAUGAAGACAACUCUCCCCUUUCUGUUUUGUAUGCAUGGGUGUUUUGCCUGCAUAAAUGUCUAUGCAGUGUGUGUGUGCAGUGCCUGCAGAGGUCAGGAGAGGGUAUUGGAUCCCCUGGAGUUAUAGAUGGUCACGAGUUUCCUAGAAGAGCAACCAGUGCUCUAAAGUACUGAGCUCUCUCUAGCCCCUAUAAAGUCAUUUUAAACAGUCUUCUGAAGUUAGAUAGAUGAAAUAUCAAAGUAACUCUGGGCCACUAUAGAAUAAGACAUCCUAACAUUUUUAGGAAGUAGUGGCCCUCUGUCAGGUGGCUGUGGUCUUCAUAGAAUUAGCUGUAUUUAGUUUACAGUUAGACUUUACUGAGAGGUGCUGUAGAUGACCAAAUUCUCUUUCUCCCCCACCCCUGUCUCUUUCUCUCUCUCCCUCUUUCCCUCUCUCCCUCUCUCCCUCUCCCACUCUCCCUCCCUCCGUCUCCUUCUCUCCCUCUCUUUUGAGACAGGAUCUCCCUGUGCCGUCCUAGCCUUGAACUCUCAGAUCCAAUUGCCUCUGCCCCCCCAGUGCUUUACAUAAUCUGAUCUCCAGUGCUCCAAAUAGAUAAACAUAGUAAUAAUAAUUGGACUUUAUCACAGUUAAAAACAUUUGCAUAACUAUUAGUGAACAAUUUCAGAUGAGGUGAUGUCUGUCAUAUAUCUGAUGACUUUAUACAAUAUAUGUUACCAGGGAUGUAAAAAGAGUUAUCAGACCAUAUAAAGAACUUCAAGUAUAAGAAAGCAAGCAGGGGCUGAGACUGCUCAGAGGUCAACAACUCUGCUCUUCCUUAGGACCUGAGUUCAGUUCCUAGAACCCUUGUCAGGUAACUCCAUCUCCAGGGGAUCCAGUGCCCUCUACUGGCCUCCGAGGGCACUGCAUCAUAAGUAUAAACUCAAACCAACAGUAACAUACAUACACAUAAUAAAGAAAUCUUGAAGCAAGCAACAAUU